rnacentral:rRNA from 1 species
UACCCGCCAGGUACUACGAGCAUAGCUUAAACCCAAAGGACUUGGCGGUGUCUCAGACCCACCUAGAGGAGCCUGUUCUAGAACCGAUAAUCCCCGUUAAACCUCACCACUUCUUGUUAAUCCCGCCUAUAUACCGCCGUCGCCAGCUUACCCCAUGAGGGUUAAACAGUAAGCAAAUGGACAAACCCCAGAACGUCAGGUCGAGGUGUAGCGCACGAAGUGGGAAGAAAUGGGCUACAUUUUCUAUAACAGAAAAUAACGAAUGGUCUACUGAAACACAUACCUGAAGGAGGAUUUAGCAGUAAAAAGCAAAUAGAG